AACCUUCCUUUUGUAAUUAUAAACCUUGUGUUUAAAUUUCAUAGAUUUCUGUUUAAUUAUACUAAAGUUAUUGUCCGGAAACCAACUGUCUUUUGGACGACGACGACAUCGACGACAACGUGAUACCAAUAUCGGUCGUAUACAAAUAAAAUUCCUUCACAUACAUAAUCAUGGCUAUAAUUAAAUUACCUUUAUUAAACAUUUUUAAGAUAGUAACUUCUAAUAAAUUGCUUCGCCGGGCUCAGCUGGAUACGACCGCAGAGGUCCAACCCUGAACAGUUGGGGCAAAAAUGGACACAAUAUUCGCGCUUGAUACAGGUCUGAAUUUGGAUUGUAAUUAAAUAUUUGACACAUAAUAGGUUUCUGACACACAAUAACUAUAGUCAAAGAACUUAGAAUUGGUUAUAUGAUUUGAAUUUAUAUUCAAGUUUUUGCUUUUGUGCAAUACACUAUUCUGUUGCAAACUGCCCCCCCCCCCCCUAAAAAAUUUCUUUUUAAUUUCUGAAAUGAGAAUACAACAUUUCUUUAUACAUAAUUUAAAAGCAGUGUAAGGGAGGUAAUCCAAUCAUAACAUUGUACUUGUUUUUAAUUGUCCAUUAACCAGGAAACCCUUGUUUUUUCCCCUUUUUUGCCCUUUAAAAUUCCUGAACGGUUUGAGCCAUAACCCCACAAAGCCAAUCCUAACAAUCCCUUUGUGGUAUGGAAACUUGUGGUAUAAUUUCAGAGAGAUCCAUACUCCGUUCCACAAGUAAUUGUCUGGAAACUAGAAUAAACUGCUUCGCUGAGCGCAGCUGGAUACGACCGCAGAGGUCCAACCCUGAACAGUUGGGGCAAAAAUGGACACAAUACUCAAGCUUGAUACAGGUCUGAAUUUGGAUUGUAUUAAAUAUUUGACAUACUAUAGGUUUCUGAAUAAAUGCAGUCAAAGAACUUGAAAUUGGUUAUAUGAAUUGAAUUUAUAUUCAAUUAAAGAUUUCUUGCUGUUGUACAAUACACUGUGCUGUUGCGCAAUACUUAGUAAAUCUGUUGUUAGACUAUAAACAAUUAAAGUUCAAUUUAUUCUCAAUGUCAUAUUAGAAAUUUAUGAAAAUGUAAAGGGAGCUUAAAUCAAUAGAUAUAAACAAUUCACCAAAGUUUCAUGAGAAUUGCUGACAGCAUUUUUGAGUUAUUGUCCGAAAACUGGAAAAUCCCCCCUUUUUUAAUGAAUAAAACCCCAUAACUCAGAAAUGUAAAAUGUAAAAUUUAUAAAAUUCUAAACGGAGCUUACAUCAAUAGAUAUAAACAAUUCACCAAAGUUUCAUGAGAACUGCUGAAAGCAUUUUUGAUUUUUGUCUGAAAACUGGAAAAUCCCCCUUUUUUUAUGAAUAAAACCCUGUUACUCGGAAACGUAAAAUCUAAAAUACAUAAAAAUCCAAAGGGAGCUCAUCUCAAUAGAUAUAAACAGUUCACCAAUAUUUCUUGCAAGUUGGUGAAAGCAUUCUUGAGUUAUUGUCCGAAAACUGGAAAAUCCCCCUUUUUUUUAAUGAAUAAAAAGUAAAAUCACAAAAAUACUGAACUCCGAGGAAAAUUCAAUCGGAAAGUCCCUAAUCACAUGGCAAAAUCAAAUGACAAAACACAUCAAACGAAUGGACAACAACUGUCAUAUUCCUGACUUGGUACAGGCAUUUUCAAAUGUAGAAAAUGGUGGAUUGAACCUGGUUUUAUAGCGCUAAACCUCUCACUUGUACGACAGUCUCAUCAAAUUCCGUUAUAUUUACAACGAUGCGUGAACAAAACAGACAUUAUGAAUAAAAUAGUCAAAAUAUGGGUACAGAAGUCAUCACUGUGUUACAAUAUCAAAACAAACAAUUAUUUACAAAAAAGCACAAAAGCAUCUAUCAAAUUAAUAAAAUGCUCCGCAGGGCGCAGCUUGAUACGACCGCAGAGGUCGAACCCUGAACAGUUGGGGCAAGUAUGGACACAACAUUCAAGCUUGAUACAGCUUUGCAUUUGGAUUGUGAUUAAAUAUUUGACACAGCAUAGGUUUUUGACACAGAAUGAAUGUGGUCUAAGAACUUAAAAAUUUUAAAUUGGACAUUCACCUAUUAUGGUCCAAUAUCCAAAAUCUAAAUACAUGGUUAGAUUCAGCAUAUCAAAGAACCCCAUAUAUUCAAUUUUUGUUGAAAUCAAACAAAGUUUAAUUUGGACCCCGAUUUGGACCAACUUGAAAACUGGGUCCAUAAUCAAAAAUUUAAAUACAUGUUUAGAUUCAGCAUAUCAAAGAACCCUAAGAAUUCAAUUUUUGUUAAAAUCAAACUAAGUUUAAUUUUGGACCCUUUGGAACUUAAUGUAGACCAAUUUGAAAACGGAACCAAAAAUUAAGAAUUUAAAUACACGGUUAGAUUCGGCAUAUCAAAGAACCCCAAUAAUUCAAUUUUUGAUGAAAUCAAACAAAGUUUAAUUUUGGACCCUUUGGACCUCAAUGUGGACCAAUUUAAAAACGGGGCCCAAAAUCCAAAAACUAAAUACACGGUUAGAUUCAGCAUAUUAAAGAACCCCAAGAAUUCAAGAAUAAAACCCCAUUGAAAUUGGUCAAGAAAUAAGCAAUUUAUACGAAGUAUCUUCUUUUGCACAAUACUGUGCAAUUAAAUAUUUCUUGCUAUUGUGCAAUACUGUACAAUUGACAAUUUCUUGCUAUUGCGCAAUAUUGUGCUAUUGGAUAUUUCUUGCUAUUGCGCAAUACUGUGCAAUUGAAGAUUUCUUGCUAUUGCGCAAUACUGUGCAAUUGAAGAUUUCUUGCUAUUGUGCAAUACUGUGCAAUUGAAAAUUUCUUGCUAUUGCACAAUACUUAUUAUAUAAUAAUUUACACAUCCUGUUUGGUGUGUAUCUCCUACCAUAUCAUUAUUAUUUGCUUUUAAAUAUAAAUCAGAAAUAACCAACUUAAAAUGGAAAAUUUUAAAAGAAAAAAAAAAGGAAAAAAAAAAAAUCCCCCCCCCACAUUUUUUGAACCCCCUUAUGAUUCAUCACCCCCAAACUUAAUCCCAGCCUUCCCUUUGUGGUAUGGUACCUUGCAGUACAAUUUCAGAGAGAUCCAUACACUUGAACACAAGUUAUUGUCUUGAGACUAGAAAAAUGUGUUUUUUGGCCCCUUUUUGGCCCCAAAUUCCUAAACGUUUAGGGCAAUUACCCCCAAACUCAAACCCAGCUUUCCCUUUGUGAUAUGGAACCUUGUAGUACAAUUUCAUAAAGAUCCAUACACUUACUCACAAGUUAUUGUCCUGAAACUACAAAAAUGCUUGUUUUUUGCCCCUUUUUGGCCCCUCAUUUCUAAAAUAUUGAGGCAAUUACCCCCAUCAUCAAUCCCAGCCUUCCCUUUGUGGUAUGGUACCUUGCAGUACAAUUUCAGAGAGAUCCAUAGAGUUGAACACAAGUUAUUGUCUGGAAACUAGAAAAAUGCUUAUUUUUGGCCCCCAAUUCCUAAACAUUUCGGCAUUUACCCCCAAACUCAAUUCCAGCUUUCCCUUUGUGAUAUGGAACCUUGUAGUACAAUUUCAGAAAGAUCUAUACACUUACACACAAGUUAUUGUCAUGAAACUAGAAAAAUGCUUGUUUUUUGCCCCUUUUUUGGCCCCUAAUUCCUAAAGCUUUGAGGCAAUUACCCCCAAAAUCAAUCCCAGCAUUCCUUUUGUGAUAUAGAACCUUGUGGUACAAUGUCAGAGAGAUCCAUACACUAACACACAAGUUAUGUCUGGAAGUAACAAAAAUGCUUAUUUUUGGCCCCUUUUUGGCCCCUAAUUCCUUUACCGUUGGUACCAUAACCCCCAAAAUCAAUCCCAACCUUCCUUUUGUGGUAUUGAACCUUGUGGUAAAAUUUCAUAGAGAUCCAUUCAUUUAAACUAAAGUUAGAGUGCGAAAACCAAUGUGUCUUCGGACGACGCCGGACGACGCCAGACGACGACGACGACGAAGACGACGCCAACGUCAUACCAAUAUACGACCACCAAAAAUUUUUUUGCGGUCGUAUAAAAAUCUAAAUACAUGGUAAGAUUCAGCAUAUCAAAGAACCCCAUAUAUUCAAUUUUUGUUGAAAUCAAACAAAGUUUAAUUUUGGACCCCAAUUUGGACCAACUUGAAAACUGGGCCAAAAAUCUAAAAUCUAAAUGCAUGUUUAGAUUCAGCAUAUCAAAGAACCCCAUAUAUUCAAUUUUUGUUGAAAUCAAACAAAGUUUAAUUUUGGACCCCAACUUGGACCACCUUGAAAACUGGUCCCAUAAUCAAAAAUCUAAACACAUGUUUAGAUUCAGCAUAUCAAAGAACCCCAAAAUUCAAUUUUUGUUAAAAUCAAACUAAGUUUAAUUUUGGACCCUUUGGACCUUAAUGUAGACCAAUUUAAAAAACGGGACCCAAAAUUAAAAAUCUAAAUACACGGUUAGAUUUGGCAUAUCAAAGAACCCCAAUAAUUAAAUUUUUGAUGAAAUCAAACAAAGUUUAAUUUUGGACCCUUUUGACCUCAAUAUGAACCAAUUUGAUAGCGGGCCCACAAAUAAAAAAUCUAAAUACAUGGUAAGAUUCAGCAUAUCAAAGAACCCCAUAUAUUCAAUUUUUGUUGAAAUCAAACAAAGUUUAUUUUUGGACCCCAAUUUUGACCAACUUGAAAACUGGGCCAAAAAUCUAAAAUCUAAAUACAUGUUUAGAUUCAGCAUAUCAAAGAACCCCAUAUAUUCAAUUUUUGUUGAAAUCAAACAAAGUUUAAUUUUGGACCCCAACUUGGACCAACUUGAAAACUGGGCCCAUAAUCAAAAAUCUAAACACAUGUUUAGAUUCAGCAUAUCAAAGAACCCCAAGAAUUCAAUUUUUGUUAAAAUCAAACUAAGUUUAAUUUUGGACCCUCUGGACCUUAAUGUAGACCAAUUUAAAAACGGGACCCAAAAUUAAAAAUCUAAAUACACGGUUAGAUUUGGCAUAUCAAAGAACCCCAAUAAUUCAAUUUUUGAUGAAAUCAAACAAAGUUUAAUUUUGGACCCUUUUGACCUCAAUAUGAACCAAUUUGAUAGCGGGUCCACAAAUAAAAAAUCUAAAUACAUGGUUAGAUUCAGCAUAUCAAAGAACCCCAAGAAUUCAAUUUUUGAUGAAAUCAAACAAAGUUUAAUUUUGGACCCUUUUGACCUCAAUGUGGACAAAGUUGAUAACGGGGCCCAAAAAUCAAAAAUCUAAAUACAUGGUUAGAUUCAGCAUAUCAAAGAACCCCAUAUAUUCAAUUUUUGUUGAAAUCAAACAAAGUUUAAUUUUGGACCCCGAUUUGGACCAACUUGAAAACUGGGCCCAUAAUCAAAAAUCUAAAUACAUGUUUAGAUUCAGCAUAUCAAAGAACCCUAAAAAUUAAAUUUUUGUUAAAAUCAAACUAAGUUUAAUUUUGGACCCUUUUGACCUUAAUGUAGACCAAUUUGAAAACGGAACCAAAAAUUAAGAAUCUAAAUACACGGUUAGAUUCGGCAUAUCAAAGAACCCCAAUAAUUCAAUUUUUGAUGAAAUCAAACAAAGUUAAAUUUUGGACCCUUUGGACCUCAAUGUGGACCAAUUUAAAAACGGGGCCCAAAAUCCAAAAACUUAAUACUUGGUUAGAUUCAGCAUAUUAAAGAACCCCAAGAAUUCAAGAAUAAACCCCAUUGAAAUUGAUCAAGAAAUAAGCAAUUUAUACGAAGUAUCUUUUUUUGCACAAUACUGUGCAAUUGAAUAUUUCUUGCUAUUGUGCAAUACUGUACAAUUGACAAUUUCUUGCUAUUGCGCAAUAUUGUGCUAUUGGAUAUUUCUUGCUAUUGCGCAAUACUGUGCAAUUGAAGAUUUCUUGCUAUUGCGCAAUACUGUGCAAUUGAAGAUUUCUUGCAAUUGUGCAAUACUGUGCAAUUGAAAAUUUCUUGCUAUUGCACAAUACUUAUUAUAUAAUAAUUUACACAUCCUGUUUGGUGUGUAUCUCCUACCAUAUCAUUAUUAUUUGCUUUUAAAUAUUAAUCAGAAAUAACCAACUUAAAAUGGAAAAUUUUUAAAAGAAAAAAAAAAGGAAAAAAAGAAAAAAAAAAGAAAAAAAAAAAUCCCCCCCCCCAAAUUUUUUGAACCCCCUUAUGAUUCAUCACCCCCAAACUCAAUACCAGCCUUCCCUUUGUGGUAUGGUACCUUGCAGUACAAUUUCAGAGAGAUCCAUACACUUGAACACAAGUUAUUGUCUGGAAACUAGAAAAAUGCUUAUUUUUGGCCCCUUUUUUGGCCCCCUAUUCCUAAACGUUUCGGGCAAUUACCCCCAAACUCAAUUCCAGCUUUCCCUUUGUGAUAUAGAACCUUGUAGUACAAUUUCAGAAAUAUCCAAACACUUACACACAAGUUAUUGUCAUGAAACUAGAAAAAUGCUUGUUUUUUGCCCCUUUUUUGGCCCCUAAUUCCUAAAAUUUUGAGGCAAUUACCCCCAAAAUCAAUUACAGCCUUCCCUUUGUGAUAUGGAACCUUGUGGUACAAUUUCAGAGAGAUCCAUACACUUACACACAAGUUAUUGUCUGGAAGUUACAAAAUGCUUAUUUUUGGCCCCUUUUUGGCCCCUAAUUCCUUAACUGUUGGUACCAUAACCCCCAAAAUCAAUCCCAACCUUCCUUUUGUGGUCUUGAACCUUAUGGUAAAAUUUCAUGGAGAUCCAUUCACUUAAACUAAAGUUAGAGUGCGAAAACCAAUGUGUCUUCGGACGACGCCGACGACAACGACGACUACGCCAACGUCAUACCAAUAUACGACCAAAAAAUUUUUAAUUUUUGCGGUUGUAUAAAAAUUCAGCAAUUUUUCCAUUUGUAAAGGGACAUAACUCUAGAACGGUUAAAGUGACACCACCAAAAUUCAAACUUGAUCUGUAUUUUGUGGUUAUAAGCAUUGUUUAUAAGUUUCAUAACAUUUGGUUGAGGCUAACUUAAGUUAAGAGAAUGGAAUGAAAAAUUCAGCAUUUUUUCCAUUUGUAAAUGGGCAUUACUCUAGAACAGUUAAAGUGACACCACCAAAAUUCAAAUUGAUCUGUAUUUUGUGGUAAUAAGCAUUGUGUAUAAGUUUCAUAACAUUUGGUUGAGGCAAACUAAAGUUAGAAAACGGAAACGAAAAAUUCAGCAUUUUUCCAUUUGUAAAGGGGCAUAACUCUUGAACGGUAAUAGUGACGCCACCAAAAUUCAAACCUGAUCUGUGUUUUGUGGUAAUUAGCAUUGUGUAUAAGUUUAAUACCAUUUGGUUGAGGCAAACUAAAGUUAGAGAACGGAAACCAAUUUUGGGAAGUACGUACGUACGUACAGACUGUCAAGGGUAAAACUUAAUGCCCCCUCUGUUACGGCGGGGGCAUGCAAAUCCUGUGUUCCCCGAAGCCAAAAAUGAUGAUUUCAUGAUCUAUAUUGCAAUUUUACUUACUUACUGCCCGGUAUGCCAUCUUUUAAAUAGCAAAUAUUAAGUUUGUUAUUAUUUAGUGCUUAUUUGUUACAAUGUAGAUUAGAAAUUAAAUUUAUAGAAUUAUUAAUACAACAAUGCCUCAAACUGAAUUUGUUUUUGUAAGAAAGAAGGAAAAUUUUAAACAAAAAAUAUGUUUAUGUUAGUUGGCGGAAAAAAUUAUAUGAAAGUGGCAAAAAAUAUAUUUAUUUUUUUUUUUUUUGCGAAAGAGGUGGCGAAAAAGAAAAUUGACCAAGGGGAAACCCUGACUGAUAGUAUUGAUUGAUUGAUUGUUGGCUGCUUAAUAUCCAGUGGCAAAUAAUUCAUGCAUGUUCAGGAUGAGAACAAAUUAACAAUAAAUGCAAUAGGUAGGUCCUGUAAUAGAGGCCGUCCUGGAUGAAGUUCGAGGAAAUUUUGACUGCCACUGAAAAAUGAGGGUAAAUUGGUAAGUGGCAGAUAUUUUGCCUUGCAACAGGCCACCUACAGAUCCCUCAAAGAUUUGUUGCAAGGGCUGAACUGAUAGUAAUGCAACUUUAUAGAAAAUAUCAUUGAUCUAUCACAAGCAGUAUCUCUCAAACUAACUUAGUCAUUCUUAGUCAUAUGAGACUUUAAAUUUUUUUUAAAAGUCGAAUACUUUCUUGUAAAAGAAAAAUCCUAUUAUCAAAAUCUUCAUAAAUGUAAAACUAUUGAAUUAUUGUCUUCCCAUACACUAAUUUGCGGAUAUUUUCUGUAAGCAGUGAUCUUAAUUACCAGACCUCUUCCCAGCGGACAGAUUCUAACCUAGCUUUGCCAAUGUUUCCUGGUCACUUCUAAAACAA